rnacentral:rRNA from 1 species
UUAGAAUACAGGUGCUGCAUGGCUGUCGUCAGCUCGUGUCGUGAGAUGUUGGGUUAAGUCCCGCAACGAGCGCAACCCUUGUCCUUAGUUACCAGCGGUUUGGCCGGGAACUCUAAGGAUACUGCCAGUGACAAACUGGAGGAAGGCGGGGACGACGUCAAGUCAUCAUGGCCCUUACGACCAGGGCUACACACGUGCUACAAUGGUAGGUACAGAGGGCAGCUACACAGCGAUGUGAUGCGAAUCUCAAAAAGCCUAUCGUAGUCCAGAUUGGAGUCUGCAACUCGACUCCAUGAAGUAGGAAUCGCUAGUAAUCGCGGAUCAGAAUGCCGCGGUGAAUACGUUCCCGGGCCUUGUACACACCGA